rnacentral:rRNA from 1 species
UAAUUCUAGAGCUAAUACAUGCUGGUGAGCCCGACUCUUUGGAAGGGCGGUAUUUAUUAGAUAACAAACCAAUAUUGCUUUGCUCUAUUGUGGUGACUCAUAAUAACUGAUCGAAUCGCAAAGCCUUUGGCUGCGAUACAUCAUUCAAGUUUCUGCCCCAUCAGCUUCCGUUGGUAGUGUAUUGGACUACCAUGGCGUUCACGGGUAACGGAGGAUUAGGGUUCGAUUCCGGAGAGGGAGCCUGAGAAACGGCUACCACAUCUAAGGAAGGCAGCAGGCGCGUAAAUUACCCAAUCCUGAUUCAGGGAGGUAGUGACAAGAAAUAACGGACCGAAGCCUUCGGGUUUCGGGACU